GUGCCAGCAGCCGCGGUAAUACGAAGGGCCCAAGCGUUAAUCGGAAUCACUGGGCUUAAAGGGUGCGCAGNCGGAAUGGUCAGUGUCUUGUGAAAUCCCACGGCUCAACCGUGGAACUGCAGGGCAUACUGCCAUUCUUGAGGCCGGUAGAGNCCGCCGGAACUCUAGGUGUACCGGUGAAAUGCGUAGAUAUCUAGAGGAACGCCAAAGACGAAGGUAGGCGGCUGGGCCGGUUCUGACGCUCAGGCACGAAAGCGUGGGGAGCAAACAGGAUUAGAUACCCUGGUAGUCCACGCCGUAAACGUUGUGCACUAGGUGCUGGAGGUUCUGACACCAUCAGCGCCGAAGCGAAAGUGAUUAGUGCACCGCCUGGGGAGUACGGUCGCAAGGCUAAAACUCAAAGGAAUUGACGGGGGCUCACACAAGCGGUGGAGCAUGUGGCUUAAUUCGAGGCAACGCGAAGAACCUUAUCCUGGGCUUGACAUGCAUGGAUUAACGCUGGGAAACCAGCGCCACACUCUUUGAGUGGAACAUGCACAGGUGCUGCAUGGCUGUCGUCAGCUCGUGCUGUGAAGUGUUGGGUUAAGUCCCUUAACGAGCGAAACCCCUGUCGCUAGUUACCAUCAGGUAAUGCUGGGGACUCUAGCGAGACUGCCGGUGUCAAACCGGAGGAAGGCGGGGAUGACGUCAAGUCCUCAUGGCCUUUAUGCCCAGGGCUGCACACGUGCUACAAUGGCGCCGGCAGAGCGAAGCAAAACCGCGAGGUAGAGCAAAUCGCAAAAAAGGUGCCCCAGUUCGGAUUGCAGUCUGCAACUCGACUGCAUGAAGCCGGAAUCGCUAGUAAUCGCGUAUCAGCAACGACGCGGGAAUACGUUCCUGAGCCUUGUACACACCGCCCGUCAAGUCAUGGAAGCCGGGAGUACCCGAAGUCGCACCGAUUCAGGUGUGCCGAUGGUAAGCUCGGUGACUGGGACUAAGU
rnacentral:rRNA from 1 species